UACAGAGGGUGCAAGCGUUGUUCGGAAUUAUUGGGCGUAAAGAGCGUGUAGGCGGCCAGGUAGGUCUGCUGUGAAAACUCGAGGCUCAACCUCGAGACGUCGGCGGAAACCAUCUGGCUAGAGUCCGGAAGAGGAGAGUGGAAUUCCUGGUGUAGCGGUGAAAUGCGCAGAUAUCAGGAAGAACACCCGUGGCGAAGGCGGCUCUCUGGGACGGUACUGACGCUGAGACGCGAAAGCGUGGGGAGGCGAACGGG
rnacentral:rRNA from 1 species